AAACAGCAGGACUCCCAAGCAUGCAAACACACCUAUAGAGAGCCAAAAGGUACUCGAUGUCCUCAAUACAUAUCACAACACAAUAUUAUUUUGGAUUGACGUGAAGAGAAGAGCCUGGCAGACAGUAGCUCCGAGCCACUUCCUCAACCACAUUCCAGCACUGCUAAAUACGCCACUUCAGAACGCAGGAGGCGACAUCAACUGAAUGCGGGCUGCUGACCUCAGCUCCUGAAAUAGCUCUCCAUGGUAAGCUGGAAGGAAAGGCACUUGUUGGUCAUUUUCCCCCAAUUCAUCCUUACAUAUUUAAGUUUGGAUUCUUUCUGACCACAGCAAAC
rnacentral:lncRNA from 1 species